GCCUAGCUGGCUCAGUCGGUAGAGCAUGUGACUCUUGAUCUUAAGGUUGUGAGUUCAAGCCCCAUGUUGAGUG
rnacentral:tRNA from 1 species